GUAUUUGAGUCUAAUCUUUUGUUCCUUAACAGUGUUUCUGUAAACUGCAGUGCUUGUUUGAAGUAGACAACACUUGUGAAAGAAGAUGGAAAAGUUCUUAGAAGUAAAAGUUGAUCAAGUCCAGCAAUGAUCUGGUCUGUGCAUCUGUGUAUGCCUGGGCCUCUGUGCGUGCAAUGCCAGGCUGCAGCUUGUAAAUAAGAACCACAAUAACAAGGCAGAUAUAAAAUAAACAACUCACAAGAUCAAAGAGACAAGUUCAAUAUAUGUGAAACAGAAUAUCAGACAUAGCAGUAAAUUUGACCAGCCUGGAAACUUAAACCACUUCUGUGUCAAGACCAUGGUGGGAAUAACUUCAUGGAGUUUAGUGGUGAACCAUGGACAAGUUUGGCAUGGGAUGAAUUUUUUGUUCUUGGCAUGAUUGACUUGCUCCUCUUCCCCAGAGCGCCAAACAGCUUCAGAGAAAGGAGUUUGCUGGAGAAUGGACUGUCUCUCCCACACACAGGUUUUGAAGGAUUUGUGUUAAGAAGGAGGAAUGAUGUGGAAAGGUUCAUCAGCUGCCUUUUGAGCUGGAGCAGAGUCCUAGUGUGCAGUCAUCACUCCUCAUCACCCUGUGCUUUGCAGGGCCUAAGCAAACCCAGCUUUCAUAACUCUUCCUCCUGGAGAUUAAACUAAAAUUGAUCCAUACUCUGGAAGCAAAGUAUUUUAUACUGGCUAGCACAGUAUGGCUGGAUUUCCCUGACCUAGCAAGUCCUGUCAUGGGCCAGGGAAGGUAUUCUCAAACAAGCAUUCAGAAACUGGGAUAUGUACCAAAAACUCAUGAAAUUUUCAAGAUUGAUAACUUUCAUUUUGUUUGCUUUUGCCUUCUGCUUUCAUACUGUUUCAACGGCAAGGCUUCCAGAUAUUGAUAACUUCAAUGGAUGGAGAAAAUAAAUGUUCUCAAUGAAUUACA
rnacentral:lncRNA from 1 species